AGAGUUUGAUUAUGGCUCAGGGUAACGCUGGCGGCGUGCUUGACACAUGCAAGUCGAACGGUAUGUGCAAACAUAGAGUGGCGAACGGGUGAGUAACACGUGGGAACGUACCCUACGCAGGGGGAUAACUGACCGAAAGGACAGCUAAUACCGCAUAACCGAAAGGUGAAAGGUGCAACUGCACCGGCGAAGGAGCGGCCCGCGGACCAUCAGCUAGUUGGUGGGGUAAGAGCCUACCAAGGCAACGACGGAUAGCCGGCGUGAGAGCGUGGCCGGCCACAAGGACACUGAGAUACGGGUCCUACUCCUACGGGAGGCAGCAGUGCGGAAUUUUAGAUAAUGGAGGCAACUCUGAUCUAGCGACGCCGCGUGCAGGAGGUUCGUUGACUGCUGUGGUAAGGGUGGAACUUUACUAGAAAGCCCCGGCAACUACGUGCCAGCAGCCGCGGUAAUACGUAGGGGGCGAGCGUUACCCGGAAUCACUGGGCGUAAAGGGAGCGUAGGUGGCCUGACAUGUCAACUGUGAAAACCCGGAGCUCAACUCCGGACUUGCAGUUGAAACUGCCAGGCUUGAGGACGGUAGAGGAAGACGGAACUGCCAGUGUAGGGGUAAAAUCCUUAGAUAUUGGCAGGAACGCCGGUGACGAAGGUGGUUUUCUGGGCCGUUCUGACACUGAUGCUCGAAAGCCAGGGGAGCGAACGGGAUUAAAUACCCCGGUAGUCCUGGCCCUUAAAGAUGUUCAGUAGGUGUGGGGAGCGGAACUUUCCGUGUUAAAGCUAACGCAAUAAGUGAACCGCCUGGGGAGUACGCCCGCAAGGGUGAAACUCAAAGGAAUUGACGGGGGCCCGCACAAGCGGUGGAGCGUGUGGUUUAAUUCGAUGCUAAGCGAAGGACCUUACCAAGGUCAUGUGAUAGAGUGAAUUGAAAGAGGAACGUUAGUCAAAGGUGGUGCACGGCCGUCGUCAGCUCGUGCCGUGAGGUGUUGGGUUAAGUCCCGCAACGAGCGCAACCCCUGCUCUUAGUUGCCAGCGGUAAGCGGGCACUCUAGGAGGACCGCCGCCGACGAGGCGGAGGAAGGGGGGGAUGACGUCAGGUAUCGUGCCCCUUAUAUCUUGGGCGACACACGCGCUACAAUGGGUUGGACAGAAGGGACCAAGACAGCGAUGUGGAGGAAUCCUCAAACCAACCCCCAGUUCAGAUUGCAGGCUGCAACCCGCCUGCAUGAAGCCGGAAUCGCUAGUAAUCGCAGAUCAGCCAAGCUGCGGUGAAUACGUUCCCGGGCCUGUACACACCCCCGUC
rnacentral:rRNA from 1 species